rnacentral:rRNA from 1 species
UUGUUGAGUUUUAUCCUAGCUCUGCGUGAAUGUUAUCAAAAUAUAUAAAAUAUGCUAGUAAAACAAAGCUUUUUUUUGUUUGCUUGUAGGAGAGUAAAACAAAAAAACUUUGUGCCUUCCGAAAUGGUUUUUCUAUACUUUUCGUAAUAGUUAAAAACUUGUAAAAAUUAAGUUUAUAAAGGCUGUAUUUUUUGUAAGAUUAGAUGUUCGUAAGCUGCAAUUUACGGAAUCAAUAAUCUUUAACGAAUUCACACGAUUAAAUCGUCUCAUUAGUUGUUAAAUAAAACUAAAUUUUUUAAAAUCGCAGUUAAGAAUAUUGAACAAUGAAAAUCCUUUCGAUUCAGUAAUUUUGAAUUUUUGUUUCUUGCCUGUUGGUAUAAAUUUCAUAGGUAAAUUAAAUAAUGAUUUGUAUUUCCCUUAAAAAUACUAACAAAUUAUGUGCCAGAAGUUUCGGUAAUACAUAAAGUAUUAACAUUACGUUUCGUUAUUUGGUGUAAAAUGCGCGUAGACUAAAAGAAAUUAUAUUUUAUCCAAUUUUAAAAGCUUUUAAAAUAUAACAAUUUCGUUUCUUUUUUUGAGUAAUCUUAAAAGUGAGUAGAAUAGUAUGAGUAAAGAUAAAAUUUUUUGAAACAUUACUAGAAUAUCAUAAGCUAAAGUUGCGCACUAAGAUAAUUUUAAUUUUAUUCGAUUAACACUGACGUUUUUAUGUGCGAAAGUUUAAGUAGCAAAAAGGAUUUGUAACCCUUGUAGUUUAAACCGUCAACAAUGAUUAUAAAAACGUAUAAUAAUAGUAAAAUUAACAUAAAAAUAAUCUACCUGAAAAGUAUUUUCGCAAGAAUGAAACUUAAAGGAUUUGGCGUCUGGAAGAACCAUUUGUGGAUUGUGUUGCUUAAUUCGAUAAUACGCGCAAAACUUACCAAUUUUUGAAUGUUAGUAUGUUUAAGAAAAUUUUCUUGUCUUUUCACUAAAUACAAAUGUUGCAUGGUUGUCGUCAGCUCUUAUUUCGCGAUGUUUGAUUAAUUUCAACAAAGAGCGUAAUACUUUUUAUUCUGUUUAUAGUAAUUUCUGGUUUUAAAUUACAAAUCUAGUAAAAUUGCUUGUAAAAAACAAGCUAAAAGCGAGUAAUACGUCUAAAUCUUUAUGGCUUAAACAAAUUGGGCUGCAAAAUGCGAUACAUUGGAAGAAUUACAAAAAGAAGUUAUGUUUAAAAAAAAGAACUAAUCUUUAAAAUCUUCCGCGUUCGGAUUAUUCUUUGAAACCUAGUUAUAUGAAGUAGGAAUAAAUAGUAAUGAUAAUUAGUUUGUUAUCGUGAAAAUAAAAACUUCUAGUGUACAUAUUGCCCGUCAUUUCGUGAAAAGAGAUUUCCAUUGUAUAAUAGGUAAAAAAACUUCUAUUUAAUGCUUUUUUUAUAAGGUUUUCUUUUAUUUUUAAAAAUGCAUGUUUCUAAUUGUGAAGAAGUCGUAACAAAGUAGUGGUACAGGAAUGUGCUGCUGGAACA